rnacentral:rRNA from 1 species
GACGAACGCUGGCGGCGUGCUUAACACAUGCAAGUCGAACGGAAAGGCCUCUUUCGGGGGGUACUCGAGUGGCGAACGGGUGAGUAACACGUGAGUAACCUGCCCUUGACUUUGGGAUAACUUCAGGAAACUGGGGCUAAUACCGGAUAGGAGCUCCUGCUGCAUGGUGGGGGUUGGAAAGUUUCGGCGGUUGGGGAUGGACUCGCGGCUUAUCAGCUUGUUGGUGGGGUAGUGGCUUAACAAGGCUUUGACGGGUAGCCGGCCUGAGAGGGUGACCGGCCACAUUGGGACUGAGAUACGGCCCAGACUCCUACGGGAGGCAGCAGUGGGGAAUAUUGCACAAUGGGUGGAAGCCUGAUGCAGCAACGCCGUGUGCGGGAUGACGGCCUUCGGGUUGUAAACCGCUUUCGCUCAUGACGAAGCUUUGUGUGACGGUAGUGGGUAAAGAAGCACCGGCUAACUACGUG